rnacentral:lncRNA from 1 species
GAGCGCCUGGAACGUGGGGUGACCGGGCGCCAGCCCACCAGGACAAGGAGAAGCAGGGAAGUGCCCAAGUGCGCGCCUGCUUCGGUGCGCGCGCGGGCGUGGGGGGGGGGGGCACGGUGUGUGUGCUGUGGGGCGGGUGCGAGUGCGCGCGUGCCCGCGGACCGGCGAGAAGAGCAGAACAGGGACAGGAACAUCACCGGAUCCCCUCCAGCACUGCGAGGGCUCACUGGCACGUAGCGACCCACGCGGAACCUGAGCUUUCAGCCUAGGGUCCCCAGCUCUGAUCUGAUCACUUCCCCGGCGGCCUGAGCUGGCACCCACGUCUUUCUGACCACCCAGCUCCCGUCCUCUAUCACUCACUGUCGCCUUGAACCCAAAGUGCAGCAGGCGGUCCCUGCUCGGAGCCAUUUUCCUCCUCUUUCUAGACGUCUCUAGGUUGGGGCAGUGCCGCCGCCGCUGCCGCCGUAGGUGCUGCCGCCGCCUCCCCCACCCCGGUGAAUUGCAUUACGGGGUGCUGCAGGGAGGCCUGGGGGGCCCCUGCGGGGCGGAUGGCUCUCAGUGCCAGGCUCCAGAAGGCAGGAGCUGGUUGCGCUAAGAGGAGGACGUAGCGCCAGCUCUGCACAGGAGCUGGCAGCGAGGCUACACCUCGGGAUCAGGGGGUGCAAUGCCCCAGCCCAGUACCCAUUCCUUGGGCCGGGGGAGGGGCUGGCGUCAAUCGGGUGGGGGCGGGCAAGGCACAAGGGCCAUUGGCGUCCCCGCCCCUCCGGCCGCUGGCGCCCAAUGGGCUGCAGCGGCUGCUCACCCUCCAAUCGGAGAGCUGGUUCGUGAGAGCCACGGCGUGACGCCAUUUCGGCGGGAGAAACAAGCAUGUAGGAGCGAGUAGGCGGGGGCGGUUGCCCAUAGGAAACUCUUCCAUUGGAUUUCGCUCCUAGUAUAAAAGGUAGUCUGUCAUCUUUUUGUUAACUCCAGCCUUCAAGACUUCCAAAAUCUAUGACCUAUUUUCCACGAAUUAUGAAACAACCGAGAGUGAAAUUGCUCCGUCAGAGACAUUACAAAAUGUACCAAACCUGAAAUAUUAAAAACUACCAUAAAUCCCAGC